rnacentral:rRNA from 1 species
GACUGAGGAUGCAAGCGUUAUCCGGAAUGAUUGGGCGUAAAGCGUCCGCAGGUGGCAGUUCAAGUCUGCUGUCAAAGACCGGGGCUUAACUUCGGAAAGGCAGUGGAAACUGAACAGCUAGAGUAUGGUAGGGGCAGAGGGAAUUCCUGGUGUAGCGGUGAAAUGCGUAGAGAUCAGGAGGAACACCUAUUGCGAAGGCAGCUCGCUGGGACGUAACUGACGCUGAGACGCGAAAGCGUGGGGAGCAAACAGG